AGUCGAGCGAGCGGAACUAAAGAUUUACUUCGGUAAUGACGUUAGGAAAGCGAGCGGCGGAUGGGUGAGUAACACGUGGGGAACCUGCCCCAUAGUCUGGGAUACCACUUGGAAACAGGUGCUAAUACCGGAUAAGAAAGCAGAUCGCAUGAUCAGCUUUUAAAAGGCGGCGUAAGCUGUCGCUAUGGGAUGGCCCCGUGGUGCAUUAGCUAGUUGGUAAGGUAAAGGCUUACCAAGGCGAUGAUGCAUAGCCGAGUUGAGAGACUGAUCGGCCACAUUGGGACUGAGACACGGCCCAAACUCCUACGGGAGGCAGCAGUAGGGAAUCUUCCACAAUGGACGCAAGUCUGAUGGAGCAACGCCGCGUGAGUGAAGAAGGUUUUCGGAUCGUAAAGUUCUGUUGUUGGUGAAGAAGGAUAGAGGUAGUAACUGGCCUUUAUUUGACGGUAAUCAACCAGAAAGUCACGGCUAACUACGUGCCAGCAGCCGCGGUAAUACGUAGGUGGCAAGCGUUGUCCGGAUUUAUUGGGCGUAAAGCGAGCGCAGGCGGAAGAAUAAGUCUGAUGUGAAAGCCCUCGGCUUAACCGAGGAACUGCAUCGGAAACUGUUUUUCUUGAGUGCAGAAGAGGAGAGUGGAACUCCAUGUGUAGCGGUGGAAUGCGUAGAUAUAUGGAAGAACACCAGUGGCGGAGGCGGCUCUCUGGUCUGCAACUGACGCUGAGGCUCGAAAGCAUGGGUAGUGAACAGGAUUAGAUACCCUGGUAGUCCAUGCCGUANACGAUGAGUGCUAAGUGUUGGGAGG
rnacentral:rRNA from 1 species